CACGUAGGGCGCAAGCGUUGUCCGGAAUUAUUGGGCGUAAAGAGCUCGUAGGCGGUCUGUUGCGUCCGCUGUGAAAACCCGGGGCUUAACCCCUGGCUUGCAGUGGAUACGGACAGACUAGAGGCGGGUAGGGGUGAGCGGAACUCCAGGUGGAGCGGUGAAAUGCGUAGAUAUCUGGAGGAACACCGGUGGCGAAAGCGGCUCACUGGACCCGAUCUGACACUGAGGUGCGAAAGCUAGGGUAGCAAACGGG
rnacentral:rRNA from 1 species